UCCAGCUCCAAUAGCGUAUAUUAAAGUUGUUGCAGUUAAAAAGCUCGUAGUUGAAUUUCGGGAUCAAUAUGUUGGUCGUGCCUUGGUACGUACUGGCGUCAUUGGUUUCUACCUUCUGAAGAACCUCGAUGUCAUUAAUUUGGUGUCUUGGGGAAUCAGGACCGUUACUUUGAAAAAAUUAGAGUGUUUAAAGCAAGCUCACGCUUGAAUACAUUAGCAUGGAAUAAUGAAAUAGGACGUUUGAUUCUAUUUUGUUGGUUUCUAGGAUCGACGUAAUGAUUAAUAGGGAUAGUUGGGGGCAUUAGUAUUCAAUUGUCAGAGGUGAAAUUCUUGGAUUUAUUGAAGACUAACUACUGCGAAAGCAUUUGCCAAGGAUGUUUUCAUUAAUCAAGAACGAAAGUUAGGGGAUCGAAGACGAUCAGAUACCGUCGUAGUCUUAACCAUAAACUAUGCCGACUAGGGAUCGGAUGANUAUUUUUUGGAGGGGCAAG
rnacentral:rRNA from 2 species